UACAGAGGUCCCAAGCGUUGUUCGGAUUCAUUGGGCGUAAAGGGUGUGUAGGUGGCGCCGUAAGUCGGGUGUGAAAUCUCGGGGCUUAACUCCGAACUGCAUUCGAUACUGCGGUGCUUGAGGACUGGAGAGGAGACUGGAAUUCAUGGUGUAGCAGUGAAAUGCGUAGAGAUCAUGAGGAAGACCAGUGGCGAAGGCGGGUCUCUGGACAGUUCCUGACACUGAGACACGGAAGGCCAGGGGAGCAAACGGG
rnacentral:rRNA from 1 species